rnacentral:rRNA from 1 species
AUUGAACGCUGGCGGCAGGCCUAACACAUGCAAGUCGAACGAGUGGCGGACGGGUGAGUAAUGUCUGGGAAACUGCCAGAUGGAGGGGGAUAACUACUGGAAACGGUAGCUAAUACCGCAUACCAUCAGAUGGGCCCAGAUGGGAUUAGCGUGUUGGUGGGGUAACGGCGAACCAAGGCGACGAUCACUAGCUGGCCUGAGCGGAUGAGAAGCCACACUGGAACUGAGAACCGCUCCGGACUCCUACGUGAGGCAGCAGUGGGAAAUAUUGCACAAGGGGCGCAAGCCUGAUGCAGCCAUGCCGCGUGUAUGAAUAAGGCCUUCGGGUUGUAAAGUACUUUCAGCGGGGAGGCGUUACCCGCAGAAGAAGCACCGGCUAACUCCGUGCCAGCAGCCGCGGUAAUUC